AUAGCAGGUGGGAAGAAAAAAAAAAAACACUCCUCAGAGUAAAUCAACUUUCAGGGAAAGCCUCCGAGCCUCGACACACCUGGACUGUGAUACCAAAAAUGCCAACACAGAUCUGUGCAGGAAGGUCCUUUUUCUCCCUCCUGCAAUGUCUUUCUUACAGCUGAGACCUCAAGGCAAGCAGAACUAAAAACAUGAUCGCUUCUGAGGAAUGAGAAUAUUAGAGUAUGCCAAAAGAGAAAUAUGUUUGUUAGGUGCUGCAAGAUUUUUCACUCCUGCUGAAUGGACUGCAGAGUUUAGCCCUUGUUUGAGCCCAAGAUUUCCUCUAAAAGAGGCUGAUACAGAGCUGCAUCAUAACAACGGGUGGGUGAGCUCAACUGGCCUUGCACACACCCACUCAUUCCCCUUCGGGAAUCCCAAAGCCAUUUACAACUGGAGCGAAUAGAUGAAAGGAUGAUUUAAAUCUUGCAUAACCUUUGGGAGGUGGAGACAGGCAACAGUAUUUUCCUGUUUCAAAGGUGGAAAUUAAAACAGUAGUCUGUCACCAUUGACUUGCUUCAAAGGUGUCAACAGCCGUGAGUGAGGGAAAGAAACCUCACCAACCUCACACAGCUCUUCCUCUCCAUGGCGCACAAGGUGAGCUGAGAGCAAGCAGCUCGGGUGAAUCCAGCUCUGUAAUUUCUUGGCUGCCUUUGUAUCAUGCCCCAAAGCAGCAGCAAGAUGAGAAAAAGCUGAUCUCAUAAAUGCCCCUUUCUAUUUUGACUGGGAAAGGUGCUCUUCCAAGCCUGGUCAUGACCACUGUGUGUGAGGUGACCAAGGGCACUUGCUGUCUGUAAUUAAACAGAUCUGCUCCUCAGGGGAAACUGGUUUACCAGCCAGCUACAUCUGCCCCAUCACCUAUGGUUCUCCCACCUGUGUGUUGUACAGCUCACACACUUAUCAUCAGCAUCAGCACAAGGUCGCCCCAAGAAACAAGCAGAAGAGAGAAGUGCAAGAGCCGACCACUGCCUUCAUCAGCUUCUGCGUGGUGCUGCCAGAGGGGCUGGCAUCCUCGUGGUCCGAAGUCCACAAGCUACUCUGAAGAAGAGCCACCAUCUGGCAGCCAUCAGUCAUGGAGCCGUGACACAUCUGGGACACGCUCCUGA
rnacentral:lncRNA from 1 species